rnacentral:rRNA from 1 species
GCCUACGGGGGGCAGCAGUGAGGAAUAUUGGUCAAUGGCCGAGAGGCUGAACCAGCCAAGUCGCGUGAGGGAUGACGGCCCUACGGGUUGUAAACCUCUUUUGUCGGGGAGCAAGACCCGCCUCGUGCAGGCGGAGCGAGAGUACCCGAAGAAAAAGCAUCGGCUAACUCCGUGCCAGCAGCCGCGGUAAUACGGAGGAUGCGAGCGUUAUCCGGAUUUAUUGGGUUUAAAGGGUGCGCAGGCGGACCAUCAAGUCAGCGGUAAAAUCGUGGGGCCCAACCCCAUACCGCCGUGGAAACUGGCGG